GGCGAUCAUAGCGCAGCCGGCAGCGCGUAAGUCUCAUAAUCUUAAGGUCGUGAGUUCUUUCCAGAGUUAGACCCCUCUGCGCCA
rnacentral:tRNA from 1 species